GCCUCCGCGGCGCUGCCUCCGGGAACUCUCCCGCGAGAGGGCCGCGCGCGCCCGGGCUCCAGGAAGUCGGGCCUGAUCCUGACAUGGUUUUUGGAGAUGCUAUCACCUGAAUGGAGGAAUGUGGGUCCUAGGAUUUGUGCUCUUCAUGUCCUGGCUGCCUUGCUAAGCCUAUUUCUUUUCUUCUCGGCCUGCCCGGGCCCCUGGAAAUGGAAGAUUUUGAGACUAAGUCAUUUAGAAAAAGAAAGCUUGCUUUCAGAAGCUCAGCCAAGACAUUCAUGGAUCAGCAGGAAUGGAUCAUCCCAAGGCACAGUAGGAGGUUACAGGAAAGUUAAAUCCACAACAUUGCCAAGGCUGAAGAGCUUUCGAGUCUACGCCUGGUGGAGAAACAGCAAAUAUAUCAGACGAUUCUCGCACCCACAGAGGCCCUGACAAAGCUCCAAAGAGCAGCAUCGCGAAAGUCUGAAUAAAGGCUUGCUUGGGGACUUAGUAAUUAUAGGAAAGACACGUGGUUUCCUUUAUUUUGGUCUCUUCUCUGGUUUAUUUUGCAGGAAUGAUGUGUUCUUCCUUUCUCUCUUUUUUUCAUGAUACCCCC
rnacentral:lncRNA from 1 species